CCUACGGGUGGCAGCAGUGGGGAAUAUUGGACAAUGGGCGAAAGCCUGAUCCAGCCAUGCCGCGUGUGUGAAGAAGGCCUUCGGGUUGUAAAGCACUUUCAGUGGGGAAGAAAGCCUUGGGGCUAAUACCCUCGAGGAAGGACAUCACCCACAGAAGAAGCACCGGCUAACUCCGUGCCAGCAGCCGCGGUAAUACGGAGGGUGCGAGCGUUAAUCGGAAUUACUGGGCGUAAAGCGCGCGUAGGCGGUCUGAUAAGCCGGUUGUGAAAGCCCCGGGCUCAACCUGGGAACGGCAUCCGGAACUGUCAGGCUAGAGUGCAGGAGAGGAAGGUAGAAUUCUCGGUGUAGCGGUGAAAUGCGUAGAGAUCGGGAGGAAUACCAGUGGCGAAGGCGGCCUUCUGGACUGACACUGACGCUGAGGUGCGAAAGCGUGGGUAGCAAACAGGAUUAGAUACCCCGGUAGUC
rnacentral:rRNA from 1 species